AACGCACGAGACCUGCGGACCUGCGGAAGGAUCAUUACCGAGUUUUCAACUCCCAAACCCCAUGUGAACUUAUACCAUUUACACCGUUGCUUCGGCGGGUUCUCGCCCCGGGCUUUACAACCCCGGAACCAGGCGGCCCGCCGGGGGACCCAAACUCUAGAUUUUAUUUUAGCAUGUCUGAGUGGAAUCAUUACAAAAUGAAUCAAAACUUUCAACAACGGAUCUCUAGAUCGGAAGAGC
rnacentral:misc_RNA from 1 species